UCACGACCCCGAGAUCCGUAGACCAACACUCUUACCUACUGAGCUAAGCGGGCGGGCUGUAACCUGGCAGAGAACCUACAACUUGUGCUGGGAUCGAACCUACCACUUGCGCUGGGAUUGAUCCUACCACUUGCGCUGGGAUCGAACCUGUUACCAUAGCCCGGCAGAGAUAUCAACUUGGGCUGGGAUCGAACUUACCACUUGGGCUGGGAUCAAACCUACCACUUUUGCUGGGAUCGAACUUGUGACCAUAGUCCGGCAAAGAACCUACCACUUGCGCUGGGAUUGAACCUACCACUUGUGCUGGGAUUGAACCUGUGACCAUAGCCCGGCAGAGAACCUACCACUUUGGCUGGGAUCGAACCUACCACUUGGGCAGGGAUCAAACCUACCACUUGCACUGGGAUCGAACUUGUGACCGUAGCUCGGCAGAGAGCAUAGCACUUGGGCUGGGAUUGAACCUACCACUUCCACUGGGAUCGAACCUGUGACCGUAGCCAGGCCGAGAACUUACCACUUGGGCUGGGAUCGAACCUGUGACCAUAGCCCGGCAGAGAGCCUACCACUUGGGCUGGGAUUGAACCUACCACUUUCUCUGGGAUCGAACCUGUGACCGUAGCUUGGCAGAGAGCCUAGAACUCUGGCUGGGAUCGAGCCUACCACUUUUGCCGGGAUCAGACCUUUGAUUGUAGCCCGGGAGAGAACCUACCACUUGGCUGGGAUCGAACCUACCACUUUCGCUGGGAUCGAACCUGUGACCGUAGGAUGGCAGAGAGCCUACCACUUUGGUUGGAAUCAAACCUAACACUUUCGCUGGGAUUGAACCUGUGAUCGUAGCCGGGCAGAGAACCUACCACUUGGACUGGGAUCAAACUUACAACUUGGGCUGGGAUUGAACCUGUGACCAUAGCCUGGCAGAGAGUCUACCACUUGUCCUGGGAUUGAACCUACCACUUAUGCUGGGAUUGAACCUACCACUUGUCCUGGGAUCGAACCUACCACUGACUGGGAUCGAACCUGUGACCGUAGCUCGGCAGAGAACCUACCAGUUGGGCUGGGAUUGAACCUACCACUUUCGCUGGGAUCGAACCUGUGACCGUAGCCCUGCAGAGAACCUACCACUUGCGCUGGGAUCGAACCUGUGACCGUAGCCCAGCAGAAAACCUACCAUUGCCAUGGGAUUGAACCUACCACUUGUGCUGGGAUCAAACCUGUGACCGUAGCCCAGCAGAGAGCAUAGCACUUAGGCUGGUAUUGAACCUACCAAUUUUGCUGGGAUCAAACCUGUGACCAUAGCCCAGCAGAGAACCUGGGCUGGGAUGGAACCUGUGACUAGCCUGGCAGAUUGCAUAGCACUUGGGCUGGGAUUGAACCUACCACUUGUGCUGGGAUCGAACCUCUGACCGUAGCCUGGCAGAGAACCUACCACUUGGGCAGGGAUCGAACCUACCACUUGCGCUGGGAUCGGACCGUAGCCCAGCAGAAAACCUACCAUUGCCAUGGGAUUGAACCUAUCACUUGGGCUGGGAUGGAACCUGUGACUAGCCUGGCAGAGAGCAUAGCACUUGGGCUGGGAUUGAACCUGUGACCGUAGCCUGGCAGAGAACCUACCACUUGUGCAGGGAUCGAACCUACCACUUGCGCUGGGAUCGAACCUGUGACUUCAGCCCGGCAGAGAACCUACUACUUGCGCUGGGAUUAAAUCUACCACUUGUGCUGGGAUCAAACCUGUGACUGUAGCCAGGCAGAGAACCUACCACUUCGGCUGGGAUCGAACCUGUGACCGUAGCCUGGCAGAGAGCCUACCACAAGGGCUGGGACCGAACCUACCACUGUCACUGGGAUCAAACCUUUGACCGUAGCCUGGCAGAGAGCCUACCACUUGGGCUAUGAUCAAACCUACCACUUGCGCUGGGAUCAAACCUGUGACUGUUUGAUCUUGCUGUCCUUCAAAGUGUGAAACUAAAGCUACAAGAAAGUUUUGUUUUUAGUUUGGAUUGGAACUCUGCAUUGACAGAGCCAUUCUUAGAUAGAUGCCCCUGGAUAGGGAACUUUGCAUUGCCAGAGCCAUUCUUAGAUGCCCCUUUCUCUUUCAGGUAGAUAGGGAAUUAAACUGUAGUCUAGAGAGUGGUUUGUGAGUGAGUUACCAGUAUGAUAGAAGCUUGGCCAAGCUAAUAUUUUGGUGUUUGAAUUUUAUAUUACAGGCAUCUGGUGAUUACAGGGAAGCAGAGAACCAACUAGUCAUGUUACUGUGUUUGGAUUCUGGCUCUGAUUGGUUAAUGUUUGAAUUUUAUAUUACAGGCAUCUGGUGAUUACAGGGAAGCAGAGAACCAACUAGUCAUGCUGCUGGGUGUGGAUGCCUUUGUUUUCAUUGAAGUCCUCAGACAGUACAGAGGAAUUAUCCUUUGCUGUUCAUGACUGGCUCAGGCACAGAAUGAGAAAGAGAAGAUUGAGAAUAAACCACAACUGUUGAAGAUUCUACAAGCCCUUCAGGCUAUAGAUCAAGAGGGAGAGGUCAAGGAGAGAUCAUGCAAGGAAAAGUCAAGUCGUGGCAGACAUAGAGGCUAUGGAUACAGAUGACACAUAGCUUUGGUUUGUGAGUAAAUUUGACCUUGAGGACCUGUCCUUCACACAUGGCAGUAACUUGAUGGCAAACAAGGAGUAUCAAUUGUGGGACGGUUUGUUCAGGAAACAGAGGAAAGGAUAUGACCGUGCUACGCACCUGGAUCAGAUGACGUCAGGUGACCAAGGAACAGAUAAAUACCACACAGGUCAUCGUGUGCGCGCCCAAGUUGACGGGGACUCUCUGGUGACUAAGGAACAGAUAAAUGCCACACAGAUCGUGUGCACGCCGGAGAAGUGGGAUAUCAUCUCUAGGAAAGGAGGGGAGAGAACUUUUACACAACUUGUCAGAUUAAUGAUCUUUAAACUACACAAGAAGAUGUACGACUUGUUGGUCUUGGUGCCAUACUACCAAACUAAGAGGAUGUAGCAACCUUCCUGCACUUGGAACUAUCUGAAGGUCUGCUCUUUUCUGAUAACAGUUUCCGACCUGUACCACUAGAACAACAGUUUAUCGAUGUAACAGUGUGGAAACCAGUGAAGAGGUUCCAGAUAAUGAAUGAGAUUGUAUAUGAAAAGGUUAUGGAGCAUGCUGGCAAUAAUCACAUGUUGGGAUGUCUUGGAAGAACUCAGUGAGGAUAUAAUGUUGACCAAUCACAGAACUACCCAUCAUUGAUGAAUCAAUUGGAGAGGUAGUUUAUUUGCAAAGUGGCUGACAAUUUGAAUGCAGAAGUUUUUCUUGGAACAGUGCAUUUUAGUCAAAGAAGCAGUAGAUUGGUUAGGGAUGUGGCGCAAGUAGAAACUGACAAGGCAGCGAAGCAUUCUUGUGUAGAUGACAACAAUGACUGCAUCUCUAAAAAAUGAGGAAAAAAGGUCAACCCAGUCAUCAUCAACACUCUGUCAACAGAAGUGCUGUCAGAACAUGGAAAAAACAGUUUCCAUGCCAAACUAGAACUGGAAUGUCAUGUGCAGUCGACACGGCUUGGCACAAAAGAGGAUUUGACAGUUUAACAUUUCGAGGCGGACAUUUUCCUCAUAUUACACUGAUAGCUGCUGCAGAGCUGAACAGUGGACAUUCCUUCAAUACAUAAGUUUUACCUAAAACACUGAUCACCGCAACAGCCCAACAAGUUACUGGAAUUGUAAUGUCAGGUAGUAACUCUGUCAGUAAAUGGAAUGCCAGUGGAAGCAGAAUUUAUAACUACAUCACUGGAAAAGGUUUUGUAAAAGGCUAGAACAAUUUGACAAUGUCAUUCUGGUGGCCAGCAGUGGCAGAAGAUUUGACUUUCCAGUUCUGAUGAAAGCAGUAGCUUGUUGUAAAGUUCGUGAGAGUUUUUUUUAAAUGUGUGUCUGGAUUUCUUGAUUCUCUAACAGAUUUAAGUAAACUUUUUCCUGGCACUUUCUCGUACAAACAAGAUCUUGUACAGAAACUUUUGAGUGGAAGUUAUGGAGAGUGAAAGCUAUGGAGCACAUAAUGCCAAGGAGGAUAUUAAAGCAUUAGGAAAUCUUUGAAAAUAUGUGUCAAUAUCGCCUAAAACAAUGCUUUCAUUUAAUUAUUCUCCAAAAUCUACAUCAGAUAUUCAGGCCUCAACCUAAAUCAUUUUGUAAAUAAUUGUCAAGCACAAGGGAGAAGAUGGGCUGAGAACAGGUACAUUGUUGAUAUAGUGAAGGACAACCAUGUGUUACAAACACAAAGAGGGCAUACUUUAGAGACAGUUACUCCAAACCUUAUGGAGUACUUAAAAAUUAUUUUAUUAUAUCUCAUUGCUUAUGCCCCAUAUUUUAAUUUUGAAAGAGUAAGAAAUGUUCAAAAAUGAUGUGUCUUGAUCUGUAUGUCAAGUUUUAUGCUUUGAUUUGGUUAUCUUUUUUGAACUAUUAGAACAUAUUAUUAUAUGUCAACAUUUUACUUUAUUAAAAGGAUUAUUACUACUAUAUUUAUUUUUAUGUACAAGUGUUACAUGCAUUUUUCAUUAGUAGAAGUAAAAAAAAAAUGGGAGUUCUUUGUUUUAAAAUCUUGUGAAUUUAAGUUUACAGUAUAAAGCUUUUGUUUAUAUUUUACCCCUACUCGAAAAGAAGGUAUUUUUAGAAAUUCAGAUGGUAAAAGUAGAUUUUCUUUAUGUAUUUGUUUCAUACAAUGAUACAGAUAAUUUGUAUGUAGUCAUUACACAUACAACACUUAUAACUUAAAAAAAAAAAGAAAUGUCGAGACCAGAAUUUUUUCCUGAAAAUUGCCAACUUUACGACUGAGGGUAUAAAAGAAAAGUAUUUCAAAUAAAUUCUUGUACAAAUGUAUGUCAUAAAUCUUUAUAUAUAUUUAUUCAACAUUGUUUUAGUAACUUACACUGAAACUGUUGUAUUUUGAUAAAUUUGAAAAAAAGUAUGUAGAAUUUAAGGUAGUUUAUUUCAUUUUUAAGUCAAAUUUGCAUAUAAGGAGUUAUGAUUUUAUAACUUUUUUUUUAAUGGUUAAAAUCAUUUAAAAUCUUAAAAACUAUUCACCCAGGUGAUACAGAUAAUAAAAAUAAAAAGCUUGGUUAGAUUUGAAAUGUAACCAUUCAGGGCCCUAAAUCAUUCAUAAACUCAUCUAAAAAAUGUGUCUGUACACGAUGCUUCGUGGAACCUUUGUCACUGUUGUGUAAAGUGUAUUCCAACCUGCCCUUCCAUGUUUCUAGCUACUUGUGAACAAGUGGCAAAAUGAAAGUAAACUGUCCAGUCAGUUGUCUGAAAACUUUAAAUUACAUUUCUUGUUUUCAGUUUUUUUUGCUACAGUGCAUUUUAUAGUUUUAAAUUGUGCAAACUAUAGAGAAAAAAGAUUUUUGGCACACAAACUUUCAAGUAAAACAACAUUUAAAACAAAAAUUGCAUGUGUCAAGAGUAUAAACAUAUUUAAAAACUCUGUGAUAUUUGUCAGAAAUAACUGUUACAGAAGGAUGGAAGGACAGAAGGACGGACAGAGACCAUUCCUAUAACCCCCACCACUUGUGGCGGGGGAUUAAUAAAUCAACUUUCUAAGAAUCUUGAUGAAUGCCUAUACACCCAAAAAUGUCCCCUGUGCACCUUUUCAGUUGUUAAGUGUCUGAUUUCUUUUAUUUUUUUAAAUAAAAUGGGUUUUUACUUAAUUUUCCUUGAAAGGGAGUUACAGUGGAUACAAAAGCAGCUUUCAACUUCACAUAUAACAGACUGUUAAACAUUCACAAAACCAAAAGUGAUGUUCCCUGUGCACCCUUUUUCAAAUUCAUCAAUUACCUUAGUAUUGCUGUAAUAUAUGGUGGCAGUUCUAUAUUCUAAGCAAUGUGUAAACAAAAUUUAGGCUUUACUUGAUAAUAUAGCAUUAUUUAAGAAACCCUGGACAAUUUAAAAUUCAUUGUUUGCAUUUUUGCUGUAGUUGCCAAUUUUCAAGUUAAAAAGUGGAAAUAUCAGCUUUAUUGCUUCUUAAGCUGUCAAGUUCCCUUUCAAAUGUUAAUGUUCACUAGUGAAUAUUGUGUAGUUGAAAGAAUUUUUCCUAAGUAUAAACAUAUUCUAUAAAUAUAUUUUUGGUGCAGUUUGUCCCCUGUGCAUCUUCUCAGUAACAUUACAAAGUAUGUAUGAAUUUUACCAUGCAUGA
rnacentral:lncRNA from 1 species